rnacentral:rRNA from 1 species
UACGUAGGGGGCAAGCGUUAUCCGGAUUUACUGGGUGUAAAGGGAGCGUAGGUGGCAGGGCAAGUCAGAUGUGAAAACCCGGGGCUCAACUCCGGGAGUGCAUUUGAAACUGUCCAGCUAGAGUGCAGGAGAGGUAAGCGGAAUUCCUAGUGUAGCGGUGAAAUGCAUAGAUAUUAGGAGGAACACCAGUGGCGAAGGCGGCUUACUGGACGGUGACUGACGCUGAGGCUCGAAAGCGUGGGGAGCAAACAGG